AUUGAACGCUGGCGGAAUGCUUUACACAUGCAAGUCGAGCGGCAGCGCGGUCUUCGGACUGGCGGCGAGCGGCGAACGGGUGAGUAAUACAUCGGAACAUGCCCAGUCGUGGGGGAUAACACUUCGAAAGAAGUGCUAAUACCGCAUACGUCCUGAGGGAGAAAGCGGGGGAUCGCAAGACCUCGCGCGAUUGGAGUGGCCGAUGUCAGAUUAGCUAGUUGGUGGGGUAAAGGCCUACCAAGGCAACGAUCUGUAGCUGGUCUGAGAGGAUGAUCAGCCACACUGGGACUGAGACACGGCCCAGACUCCUACGGGAGGCAGCAGUGGGGAAUUUUGGACAAUGGGGGCAACCCUGAUCCAGCAAUGCCGCGUGAGUGAAGAAGGCCUUCGGGUUGUAAAGCUCUUUUGUCAGGGAAGAAACAGCAGCUCUAACACAGUUUGCGAAUGACGGUACCUGAAGAAUAAGCACCGGCUAACUACGUGCCAGCAGCCGCCGUAACAC
rnacentral:rRNA from 1 species